rnacentral:rRNA from 1 species
AACGAACGCUGGCGGCAGGCCUAACACAUGCAAGUCGAACGCCGUAGCAAUACGGAGUGGCAGACGGGUGAGUAACACGUGGGAACAUGCCCUUUGGUUCGGAAUAACUCAGGGAAACUUGAGCUAAUACCGGAUAAGCCCGAGAGGGGAAAGAUUUAUCGCCGAAGGAUUGGCCCGCGUCCGAUUAGCUAGUUGGUGAGGUAACGGCUCACCAAGGCGACGAUCGGUAGCUGGUCUGAGAGGAUGAUCAGCCACACUGGGACUGAGACACGGCCCAGACUCCUACGGGAGGCAGCAGUGGGGAAUAUCGGACAAUGGGCGCAAGCCUGAUCCAGCCAUGCCGCGUGAGUGAUGAAGGCCCUAGGGUUGUAAAGCUCUUUUGUCCGGGACGAUAAUGACGGUACCGGAAGAAUAAGCCCCGGCUAACUUCGUGCCAGCCGCCGCGGUAAGAC